UAUAUUCUAUCCACAAAGAAGUUAGCAUAGGGCUGUCUCUGUCACGUUAUCCCAUACAAAUGACAGAGA